GGAAAGAUGGUUGAGUUGGCUUAAGGCACACGCUUGGAAAGCGUGCGUACUGUAACAGGUACCGGGGGUUCGAAUCCCCCUCUUUCCGCCA
rnacentral:tRNA from 1 species